AUUGAACGCUGGCGGCAGGCUUAACACAUGCAAGUCGAGCGGAGAUGAGGUGCUUGCACCUUAUCUUAGCGGCGGACGGGUGAGUAAUGCUUAGGAAUCUGCCUAUUAGUGGGGGACAACAUUCCGAAAGGGAUGCUAAUACCGCAUACGUCCUACGGGAGAAAGCAGGGGAUCUUCGGACCUUGCGCUAAUAGAUGAGCCUAAGUCGGAUUAGCUAGUUGGUGGGGUAAAGGCCUACCAAGGCGACGAUCUGUAGCGGGUCUGAGAGGAUGACCCGCCACACUGGGACUGAGACACGGCCCAGACUCCUACGGGAGGCAGCAGUGGGGAAUAUUGGACAAUGGGGGGAACCCUGAUCCAGCCAUGCCGCGUGUGUGAAGAAGGCCUUAUGGUUGUAAAGCACUUUAAGCGAGGAGGAGGCUACUGAGACUAAUACUCUUGGAUAGUGGACGUUACUCGCAGAAUAAGCACCGGCUAACUCUGUGCCAGCAGCCGCCGUAA
rnacentral:rRNA from 1 species